UCAUAUGCUCAUUACCGAGUCUCAUGGACCUACGGGCUGCCAUGGACAUGAGACCGAAGGGUAUGUUUGGAAACAAUCAUGCCUCCCGUUUGGAAAGGUAAAGGAGAAUGAAGUGG
rnacentral:ncRNA from 2 species